rnacentral:rRNA from 1 species
AAGCCCUGGAAACGGGGUCUAAUACCGGAUACGACACACGACCGCAUGGUCUGUGUGUGGAAAGCUCCGGCGGUGAAGGAUGAGCCCGCGGCCUAUCAGCUUGUUGGUGGGGUGAUGGCCUACCAAGGCGACGACGGGUAGCCGGCCUGAGAGGGCGACCGGCCACACUGGGACUGAGACACGGCCCAGACUCCUACGGGAGGCAGCAGUGGGGAAUAUUGCACAAUGGGCGAAAGCCUGAUGCAGCGACGCCGCGUGAGGGAUGACGGCCUUCGGGUUGUAAACCUCUUUCAGCAGGGAAGAAGCGAAAGUGACGGUACCUGCAGAAGAAGCGCCGGCUAACUACGUGCCAGCAGCCGCGGUAAUACGUAGGGCGCAAGCGUUGUCCGGAAUUAUUGGGCGUAAAGAGCUCGUAGGCGGCUUGUCACGUCGGAUGUGAAAGCCCGGGGCUUAACCCCGGGUCUGCAUUCGAUACGGGCAGGCUAGAGUUCGGUAGGGGAGAUCGGAAUUCCUGGUGUAGCGGUGAAAUGCGCAGAUAUCAGGAGGAACACCGGUGGCGAAGGCGGAUCUCUGGGCCGAUACUGACGCUGAGGAGCGAAAGCGUGGGGAGCGAACAGGAUUAGAUACCCUGGUAGUCCACGCCGUAAACGUUGGGAACUAGGUGUGG